rnacentral:tRNA from 1 species
CGAAAUCGGUAGACGCUACGGACUUAAAAAUCCGUCGACUCUCGCACUCGUGAGGGUUCAAGUCCCUCUAUCCCCA